UAGAGGACAGACUGAUGUUGGAGAGUGGAGUCCAGCCAAACCCUGAUAGAUCAGCUUUUUGAUCACUGCUUCAGUAACCACAGUGAAGGCCGAUACAGUUCCAGACGUGCUCUACAGAGGACAGACUGAUGUUGGAGAGUUCAGCCCAACCCUGAUAGAUCAGCUUUUUGAUCACUGCUUUGGGAAACACAGUGAAGGCCGAUACACAUCCAGACGUGCUCUACAGGACCAAAAAUGACCAAACUCACUGCACUGAGUUGUAGCUGGAGAAGGAAAUGAGACCACCAAAAGCCAGAGAGAAGGAGUAAAAAACUUGAGCACCAGCAUCCAGCCAUGUUGUCGGCUUUGCCAGCUCUGCUAACUGGAACAACAAAUAAACAUGACAGUAAGAGAUCAACUGGUUAUCGCUUUGAACAGGUUAAAUCAUACCUCAUACGAGGAGCUGGAGCAUUCAAAUGUACUGUAAUGUGGUAGUUGUGUAGCCUUUUUAAUGCAUUCUGUUUUGUUAUAUGCAGCAAAAUAAGUGUUAUUUCUGAAACAAAUGUAAGAAGUGCAACUUACA